UGGAGAUACUGGUUGGUUGAAACAUGGACUAUAACCAAUCUGUUUUUCAGAAGGCUCCUGUUCAGUCCUGUGUCCUAGAAGACCACCUCCAUGAAAUCAACUGACGACGAGACUUCAGUAAUGAUUUGACUCUUGGCUAAAAGUAGAAAGAAUCUUCUAGCAAACGAAAGAACAAAUGGUGUUGACUCGGGUGUAUCUGACAUCUACAAAGGACAAGGACAUCAAAUUCAGAAAAAGAUUAGAGCUUAUGGGCAAGGACAGGCUUAAAUGGGCUUGGACACGCGUCCUCUGGUGCACCGGAACAUGGACUCAAAGCAGGAAACUUGAAGAGCCGGUCAAAGAUUAUCUCAGAGAUCAGUCAGGAGAAUCCUCUAGACCCAAGGGACCUUGAUUUGGAAACCUGAUGGAUUUCUGAAUGGUGGGUCUGGGCUGCGAGGACCUCAUGCAGCCAAAGCUCACGCAGCACAUUGGCUGUAGGAAGCAGAAUUGCUGCCUCAAAUGCACCACUGUUAGAUUCAAGACCUGAGAUGUCAGUUCUAGUGUGAUGCUGAAUUCUCUAACAUCAGUGGCACUCCUCGGAGGCAGACUCACGAAGGUAAAAUGUGACCGAAGAUGAAGAAAGGCCUUGGGAGGGUUGGUGUGAACUGUUUGUCGGAGCUGAUUUAAUGUGGCAAAUCUAUUACUUUUUUUUUUUUUUUUUUUACUAUUCCUUAACUUUAGGAAUCAUAU